CGCUCACCCUAUCUGUGGCGCCGCGCGCUGCGCGCGGCCGCCGGGCCCCUGGCCAGGGACACCCUCUCCCCCGAACCCGCAGCCCGCGAGGCUCCUCUCCUGCUGCCCUCGUGGGUUCAGGAGCUGUGGGAGACGCGACGCAGGAGCUCCCAGGCAGGGAUCCCCGUCCGUGCGCCCCGGAGCCCGCGCGCCCCAGAGCCUGCGCUGGAACCGGAGUCCCUGGACUUCAGCGGAGCUGGCCAGACUUCGGAGAGACGUCUCCCGCCCAGCGGUGGACCCCGCAGCAAACCGCCUUGGCCUGCCCUGCCUGGCCCCCGGACCGUUCUGACAGCGUCCCCCGCCCGCCCGUGGCGCCUCCGCG
rnacentral:lncRNA from 1 species